rnacentral:rRNA from 1 species
CCUACGGGGUGCAGCAGUGGGGAAUAUUGGGCAAUGGGCGCAAGCCUGACCCAGCAACGCCGCGUGAAGGAAGAAGGCUCUCGGGUUGUAAACUUCUUUUAUCAGGGACGAAGCAAGUGACGGUACCUGAUGAAUAAGCCACGGCUAACUACGUGCCAGCAGCCGCGGUAAUACGUAGGUGGCAAGCGUUAUCCGGAUUUACUUGGUGUAAAGGGCGUGUAGGCGGGAAAGCAAGUCAGAUGUGAACACCAUGGGCUCAACCUGUGGCCUGCAUUUGAAACUGUUUUUCUUGAGUACUGUAGAGGCAGACGGAAUUCCUAGGGUAGCGGUGAAAUGCGUAGAUAUUAGGAGGAACACCAGUGGCGAAGGCGGUCUGCUGGACAGCAACUGACGCUGAGGCGCGAAAGCGUGGGGAGCAAACAGGAUUAGAUACCCUUGUAGUC